AUCAAACACCGUGUUCCAAAUUAUUAUGCAAAUGAUAUUUUACACAGAUUUGCCAAAUAAUCAAUGCA